GGAAUACUGAAGUGUAGGGAAUACUGAAGUGUGUGGAAUACUGAAGUGUGUGGAAUACUGAAGUGUAGGGAAUACUGAAGUGUAGGGAAUACUGAAGUGUGUGGAAUACUGAAGUGUAGGGAAUACUGAAGUGUGGGGAAUACUGAAGUUGUAGGGAUACUGAAGUGUAGGGAAUACUGAAGUGUGUGGAAUACUGAAGUGUAGGGAAUACUGAAGUGUGUGGAAUACUGAAGUGUGUGGAAUACUGAAGUGUAGGGAAUACUGAAGUGUGGGGAAUCUUUUCAUUUCAUUGAUGAUUUCUCCACACAGCUCAACACCAAAUCCAUCUCCAUAUUUCUUUUGGAAGAUGAGAAAAAUGAUUUGAUGAAAUAAAGACAGCACCUCUUAUUCUUUUUCUUCGCCUGCGUCUCUCCUGAACUCUUCUUCAAAUGCCAAGCUUUCAGCGCCUGAGAUUCAUG
ensembl:lncRNA